rnacentral:rRNA from 1 species
CCUACGGGUGGCAGCAGUGAGGAAUAUUGGUCAAUGGACGCAAGUCUGAACCAGCCAAGCCGCGUGCGGGAUGACGGCUCUAUGAGUUGUAAACUGCUUUUGUCCGGGGGUAAUAUCAGAUACGUGUAUCUGCUUGAGAGUAUCGUAAGAAUAAGGAUCGGCUAACUCCGUGCCAGCAGCCGCGGUAAUACGGAGGAUCCAAGCGUUAUCCGGAUUUAUUGGGUUUAAAGGGUGCGUAGGCGGUUCUAUAAGUUAGAGGUGAAAAUUCGGGGCGCAACUCCGGACGGGCCUUUAAGACUGGAUGACUAGAGAUGAGAUGCGGUAGGCGGAAUGUAUGGUGUAGCGGUGAAAUGCGUAGAGAUCAUGCAGAACACCGAUUGCGAAGGCAGCUUACCAAAUGAUAUCUGACGUUGAGGCACGAAAGCGUGGGGAGCAAACAGGAUUAGAUACCCCGGUAGUC